GAGGGAGGGAAGGAGGGAGGAAAGGGCGAGGGGAAGGCGAGCGAAGCAGACGGGACAAUUUCUUGCUGUGGUAUUUCGUCGACAUGUACGGAGAUGGAUUUGAUUGUUUGAUUCUUUUGUUGCUAUUUUUGUGCUUUUUGGUCAAUGUUAGGCAAUCUCUUGGAGGUGUACAACAUCACACAUUCUGUUCAAGAUGAUGAGGUUGUGGUCCAAUCCAGUGAUGCAGCUCAACGGCCACCAUUUAAUAUUGUUUGACCUAAGUCGGGGAAGCAGAAUUACAGAUGACAGCAAGGAGGUAAGCAGCCAUUGAAGAGGAUUUAGAUGCCUAGGAAGUGGGCCCAAAAUAAACAGAAUUCAAGCUCCAAACAUAAGACUACUGGGGCGCUCUAGUGCCUCUAUUUGAAGAAGGCUGAAGAACAUCCGGCAAGGAUCCUCGUAUGGAGUCACGAAUUGAAGGGAGGAACCCAUUUUCACAAGCGUUCAGAGCACAUUACCUCAGUAUGGUGAAUUGUGGCCCCCAGAGGUAAGGGUGUCGCAGCAACAUUGUGUUGAUGGGAUUUGCUUUCAUUUCAUUGUUGAUGCUUUCUGACAACAUGAUGUGGAAAAGCAUUCACGCAGCACUUGAAAAUAAACCUUGAAAGAGAAAAUUAAAGAUGAAAUUCUUAAAAAUGGA